rnacentral:snRNA from 1 species
AUAUUUACCUGGCAGGGGAGAUACCAGGAUCUUGAAGGUGGAUUUCCCAGGGCGCAGCUUAUACAUUGCACCCCUUCGAUUUCUUCAAAUCUAAGAAACUCAACUGCAUGAUAUGUUGUAGUGGGGGAGGGAGACUAUGUUAACACUUUCCCCUA